CGACACAAUCCACUCGACAUUCGACUCAGGCCCAUUAAACAAAGACGACCCCAAAAGCAAUUACCAACUCGACAGGCCGAUGCUACUCUCGACCGACCAACCGAACACACCUCACUAAAUCAAGAUCGGUAGGCGGCCGAUAUUCGGACUCUACAGACAAUAAACUACUUCGGUCAUCGGUAUUUCAGAGUUACAAAUCGACAACCGACUCUCGACGCACAGUCAGCCGACUCAUUCAAAUAUAUCAUAACCAUCAUGGAUGGUUACUCCACUGAUAUCGCGGCAUAAUUCAUGAGGAUUAAUAACCCACUACGAGAUUAUCGUCCUG
rnacentral:lncRNA from 1 species